UAUAAUCAUAUUAGUAUAUUGUUUGAAUUAGCCUAGCCUUAUAGCCUAAUAGCGUAGACUUAGAAUAAUUUUUUCAUUUUUAUUUUGAAGGAUUUUAUUGGAGGGAGAGCAUAAUAUGAAUAAAUGCGUUUGUAUUGUAUGUAUCUGUAAGUCAUGGUUUGAAUUUGUUGGAUGGAUUGAGGUUGGAUAAUUGGAUGGAUGGGUGUGAAAGUGGGCUGGCAAUCAACGGCUAAUAUUUAACGUGGGGCCCACACGGCGUCACCGGCGCCCCCGCUCCAUCCAGCCACCCACCCAACCGGACGCGCUCCAAAGGGCUUUUUAGUAAAUUCCUUUCACUCCCAAAUAUUCGUGCUGCAGCCCAGCCCAGCCCAGCCCAUUAGGAAGGAUUUUAGGGUUUAAUUCACUUAUUACAGUAAUGCUUGUAUUGUAAACAGUUCAACUCUUAUGGAGUAUUACAGUAAUUAACAAAAUAGUUUGAUUGGUCGGGCAGAGCAGAGCCAGAUCGUGGUGGAUUGUCAAAUUAUCAUCUCCCAUCUUUAGGUUUGUUUGAGUGGAAGACAAGAUGAACGAUGAAUUUGUAAUCGAAAAAUUCAAUGGAAUCAAUUUUAAAGUUUGGAAAAUGCAAAUCGAAGAUUAUUUGCAUGUCAAAGACUUAGAGGGCAGCGCUAGAGGAUAAACCUAAAGAUAUGAACAAAUUUACGUACAAGAAGAUUGAUAGGGAGGCGAUGAGCAUAAUUCCACGUUCCCUAACACAAGACGUUGCAUUUCAAACAUUAAAGGCUAAAACGACAAGAGAAGUCUUGAAGAUCUUAUCGAAUAUUUAUGAACCCACUAUUGCUGACAAGGUUCACCUGAUGCGGAAACUUUUCAAUAUGAAGAUGGCCAAAAGUACUCCUAUUGCUACACAUCUCAAUAGAUUUAAUGAUAUCAUAUCAGAGGUGACAUGGGUAAAUAUCAACUUUGACACAGAGGUCAAAGCUCUCGUCUUCUUAUCGUCUUUACCAGAAAGUUGGAAUGCAUUUAUAACGACAGUGAGUGUUUCAUCCGGGAAGAAAAAGAUGAAAUUUGAUGAAGUUAGUGAUCUAAUCAAUCUAUACAAAUGAUAAUAUUUGAUUUAGCUGUGGGAUGAACUUGAUAAUCAAAUUCUUGUCUUUGUAUGAUCAUAUCUAGAAUUCUAUUAGUCGUAUUUCACUAUUGGUAAUAUAUAUUUAUAUAUA